rnacentral:rRNA from 1 species
UACGUAGGCAGCGAGCGUUGUUCGGAGUUACUGGGCGUAAAGCGUAUGCAGGCGGAUCGUUAAGUCGGGGGUGAAAUCCCGAGGCUCAACCUCGGAACUGCCUUCGAUACUGGCGACCUUCGAGUCCGGGAGAGGUGAGUGGAACUCCGAGUGUAGAGGUGAAAUUCGUAGAUAUUCGGAAGAACACCAGUGGCGAAGGCGGCUCACUGGCCCGGUACUGACGCUGAGAUACGAAAGCGUGGGGAGCAAACAGG